rnacentral:lncRNA from 1 species
UCUGACUCCGGGAGGCUAUAUAAGGAGCUACUGGCUGCGCACUUCGGUCUUUUACGUCGGCCUUCGCGAGCGUCUGGGCGGGUGGUAGGAACAAUGGCGCUGUCUUCAGUGGCACAGUGGAGCAGCUCUGAAGAUGCAAAGAUACACGAAAAAACUUCCAGAACAUCUGGGAGAAUAUUUAAUGGAAAAUCGCUUGGUUAAAACCUGACACUUUUAACAGUGAACAGCGUUCUGAGUGUGGACGAGUAGCCAGUGAAGAUAAUGAAUGUCGAAUGUGACUGACUAGCAGCUUCAUUUUGAAUGAGGGUCGCUGUCUGCCCAUUGAUAGAGGCCAGAUUGUCUUGGAAGUUCCAAAGUUGCAACGAUUUCUGGCUAGUGCCACGAGGUUUACUUGACUGUUGUGUGAAAAGCUGAUAAGAAAACCAUCCAGAAAAAAGCUCUUCGUUUUACAAACAUGAAAAUAAAACAUGUAAUUUUGGAUUAUGUUCCUUUUUGUUAUUACUUUUAAAUAGGUCCUGAAAUAACAUGGGGAGCAUUAAAUGGAAAAUCCACUAACCAGCCUUGUAAUCAAAUUACUGUGAGUGAAUGUUUCGGGUUUGUGCAGGGUACAAUGUAAGGGUUUUUGGAUCAGUGUAAGAGUGGAGAGACAGGAAUUAGAAGUAAUUGUUACUAAGCAAAUCAUGGAAUAUUUAGUUUUGAUGUAACUAUAAUUUUGAAAGCCUGGAUGCUUAAGUUGAGAAAUGGGGGAAUGAGAUACAGAAAAUAAGGAGCACAAUAGAAUAAUAAUAGCAGUUUAUUAAGUAUGGUCAUGAGGGAAGGUUACUGAUAAAACAAUCUGGUAAAGACAUUCAGGCUUGCUAAAAUCUAGGAAGAGGUCAUUUGGCAGGAUGGGUUACAUAAUGCUAUCUGAUACUACCAAAUAAAAUGAGAGAGAAGCCUUAGGCAUGUAACGUUUGGAGAUAGAAAAUGUACCUUCACUAUGAAGGUAGUGUGUGUAAGAUGGCAGUUGAAAGCAUUGCUUGUGUUUAUGUUUAUACCCUUGAUCUCUGAUGCCCUUACCUACCGUACUUAAAACUCUGUUAAUCAUUGUCUUUCUCCCCCUCCCACAACUUCUGCAUAAAAUUUUAAGAUCUGUGUUUCAUUAGUUCAAGAGUGCCUAGAAUAGGGCCAGGCACUGUUAUACAGUAUGUGGUAAAAGACUAUUGAGAUUCCAGUUUUCAAGGAAGAGUGCCAUUACCGUUUUGUUAAAGCUGGCAAACAAGACAAAGUUGUGAAAUAGACUGGUUGCUUUGGAGCCCUCUGACCGCUUUUCCUGUAGCUCCUUCUACCUCCCUUGCCUCCCAAUAGAUUUUUUAAUAUGUCACAUUAUCUAUCGAAAUU